rnacentral:lncRNA from 1 species
AGCACCCAGCCUAGCUAAGAGGGUUAUUUGAGCUGUCAACUACGACUUUGAUGGCUGGGUUGCCCCUCGACCGACGGAAUCGCACCAUCCUAGCCGUUUCCAGCAACCCUUCCUUUUGCCACACUGCGAACUUUCCUCACUUCCCCCUCCCCAUCACACGCACCACUGCUGUUGAGUAGGCGUAUCUGGGGUCGUCCUUGUUCUCAUGCGGCGCAUGCUUGAGGGGGCAUCGCUCCACCUCGGGCGCCAUGUAGCCCUCAGUGCCGGCACGGGUGACGGCUCGCUCCUGGUUCAGGUCGAUGCUGACGCCGAAAUCCGCCAACAGCAGCCGCCAGUUCUGAGAAAGCAGAAUGUUUUCGGGCUGCGGGUGCAGGGUGAAAGCCACGCGUAGCAGGUUAGGGGGAUGAAGCCUUGGAGUGGUGCCAGAAGCAAAACAGGGCAUGUGCGAGUCCUGCUGUCAAUCAAUUUAGUAGAGCCACGUUUACGUAUUACUUGCCUUGCACGAUGUCGCGUGUGCUAUUCGCUAUCGUAGUUGCAGGCAUCCGCCCGCGUGAGUCUAAGUCCAAGCAGCUUGCCAAGAUACUGGCAGCUUGCACGUGUAACUGCAUUACGAGGUGUGUGCCUUCCUACCUUAAUAUCCCGGUGGCAGACUCCCCUGGAGUGAAGGUAGGACAGGGCCUCCAGGAAGGGCCGCAUCACACCGUCAGCAACCUGUGUUGUGAGGGGAACGCGGUGAGGGGAACAAGAUAGGAGAGAGCCACCAUGGGGUGUUAAAACAGUUUAGAGUUACGUUGGUUGAAAGAUUUUGGAUCGGCUCUGUUAUCGAAUGCUUUGUGACAAAGAAAAUCAGCGGAAUCGGGUAAGGAGAGAUUGCAUCGUAAAGCUGUUCGCUUGGGAUGCAAAGGAAAAAUGUGGCUUUAGAGGGUUUGUUGGUACAGAUUAGUAUUAUUCGUCCUUAAUUCUUUAUGAAAAUAUUUUAGUAGAAAGGCAUACAAUUUUUGUCGUUUGGGGGUAAUUAUCGGCUUAAGUUUGAGUUUCGACACGUGCAUCGCAUUGAAGCAUAUGAGUAUGGUCACCCUGGCUCCGUUCGUAACUUCUGUGUUAUCGUCACAGUUAACCCCGGAAGCGGACUGGACUGAAGUUGCUGACCUGAGGCGUGACAGACGGCACCACCAGCCUACCGUACGCACAUGCCCGUUGAUCACAGAUAAUCGCAGCACACGACGGGCCAAACGGUUCCUGUUUCGCCAGCAGCUUGCAAGCCUCACCCUCAGCAGAAUGCGCUGAAGCAAUCCGAUACCGAUAUUUGCUUGGCAACCUUGCCAGCGCCAUUUACGUAUGGAUGGGAGCUUGGUGCGACUAUCUUUAAAACACUUACAAACACGUAUUCGUGAACUUCGCAAGGUUUUUAUGCACUCCGCUAGUUUGUCGCACCAUCUCUUUGCCUCAUCACGUGUACCUGGUCACCCGCAAGAGCCCGUCCGUUUUAAUCCCCCCUAACCGGCUACCCUGCCCUGCAAAGCAGCUCACCGCACCUGUUCAGGUGGCAUGCGGCCGCCGCACCGCUGCAUGAAGCCGUACAGAUCGCCCUGCGCCGCAUACUCCUGGACGAGCACCACUCGAUCACCCGCGUCCUGCACGGCACAACAAGGACCUUUGUGGCUUGGCAAGAAUUUAAAACUUGGGAUACACCAGCGCCCAAGCAGCACCCACCCUCGCCAAGCAGUCCUGGCCUGUACAUCCCAGCCAACAUCAUCCCGGCAUUCAUAGUGGUCUUUUUCUGUAACCAGGUAGGGGCUAGCAGAAGUAUGGGCUAGCAAAGCAAGGCCGACGAGCUCAUCCUGUGAUAUUGCUUACGAACGGCCUGCUCAACGCACCAUGAAAGCAGCGUAGAGACGGACCACGUGUCUGUGGACGAGUUGUACGUGGAUCUCGAUCUCUCGCUUCAGCCUGCCCAAGGGCACACCCCGAGUACACAUGGCCAUGCAGGUCUGAACGGAAGCACUUCCCGCUCUAAGUCGUAUAACACAAGCGGGUCAUGGUCCCAAUGCCGCAAGACGCCCAAUUCAGUACGGUAAACUGCGUUCUUCACAAUUCCGCCCGCUACCCUUAUAUCCUAGGACAUUGCAGCACAAGAAAAUUCGCAGCAUCAAGCGGUCUGCCUGAUUAAACAGUCAUGGAAGUGAGUUCAGGUGGGAGCAACCAGAAAGCGCUACCAGAAAUAUUGCCACGGACCGCCAUGGUUCGGCGAGGCAGGGUGAGAACCUAAUAUCGGUCAUGCCUAGGGUAGUCAGUGCGGUACAUCCGCUGGGGCUUGCAAGCCACGCUACCCCACUGCCGUACACUGACAUUCACUUACAUGUGCACCACGUUCGCAGGGACACGCGAUAAGAAGUAGACCUGUGCGGGGUGUGCAACCCAAAACGGCACAACAGUCAAGAUUCAAGAUAUAGUGCAAUACCUACAGCUCAUCACACACAAGCUAAAAUGACUCACGAAAUGCUGCACAGAAUCAGAAGACAGGACACGCAUAUUUUCACUGGUGCCCAACUCCGACAAGCGAUAUGCAAGGAUGGGCAGGCAGCAGGCGGGUUCGUACGUACGGGCCGCACUACGCGAAGAACAUGCAGGGGUACCUCAGCAUCAAUUGUGAACGGUCUAGCACAGCUUAACUCCAAAUAAUGGGAGGACUUCCUAGUGGCGCAGGUAUCUGUGCGUGCCUGUGUUACACUUCUGGAGUUGCGCUACCCUCCGAGGGUGUAACAGGCCCAUACGAGCCGGACACCCAAUGGUCAGUCUAGGUCUGUCCGAUAUCGACAGAUGUCGUAAAAGCGCGUAAGGAGAACUAUUAUCAUAUCACUUAUCAAAGAGAAUUUAAGUGUAUGCUUCCUCGUGUUUUAAUUGCGUAGACGAACCUGACCUCCACCCGCAACCUGGUAGGUUUCCUGAGAUAAGUCUGUUGCAAACCUUCAAAACCCUACCCAAGGUGCCCUGCCAAGUACCCCACCUUGAGCGCCACUGGCAGCCCCGAGCGCCGGCACGUCGCCUGUGCAGGGAGAUGGAAACGGAGUGCGUGUUGGACUAGUUGCAGUGAAGGGAAGGCGGGCAGGAAACGCUGAAAGGGAAACCCCGAAGAGCCGUGUCCACGACAAGAUUGCCGCAGAGGGGGCAAGCCGGUUGCAAACGCUUCUGCCAUUGCGGCAGCCCUCGGUCCCUAAAACGUUCAUGACGCGUAAAACUCUGGCAAUCUUCAUAGAUUCAUAUAUGCCUCACUCUGUACACGGCGGAGGAGCUCCCCUUGAAGAUCCUCCUGGCGAUGGAAUAGUCCUCCAGCGCCCAUACUGAGCGGCGCAUAGCGCUCGGAAGUGCGGGCGAUACUGCAAGUAGCUUUCUGUUAGCCGUUGGGGCGACCUCUGCCGUCGCCUGAGGUGCACAAUUUUGAGCUUGAUAGGAACUAUCAACAUGCGGAGCAGGAUCUCGGAAAGGAGGGGACGGCAGCUGGGUCUCAACCAUGCUGGUGGCCUUGGUCGUUGCGUUGGAGACUGCGCUACCGGAACUGCUACUUUGCCCAGUUGAAAGAGCAUAAUGUGGCGUGCUUACUCCUGUCGGAGAUGCAGCUCCGGAGUCAUCCUUGGCCCCCGUUUGUUGAGUGCACGCGCCAAGCGAAGCGGUGUCUUGGCGGGCAAGUCCGCGCUCCGGGCUGCUUCCCGGUAAAAACAUGCACUGGGGAGGACUGCACUGUGUGUGAGUAGACCGUUCCGUGCACAGCAAUGUGGACUGUGUUGGCGGCGAGAUGGAAGGCGGUGCGCGGGCAUCUGGAGCGGCCGUAGCCAACGAUGACAGGUUAUUGGCGCUCCGGCUGGUGCUUAUAGAGCCAAGCUUGGACUUUAGAGAUUUCCAUAACGCAGGAAGCCGAUGACUGUAUGCUUUAGGACUUCCGUGGGGGCUGGCAACAGGGACACAGUUGCCAUAGCUGCCUUCGGCACCUACUUCAGCAAGGGUAGUCGAGUGAAGCCUACGAAUACUCAUGACUGGUCUGUUGUGUCAGCGGCGUGUAUUUAUCGUUUCUUAACAACCUGCAGCCACAAUGACCUCUGGAACCCAGAAAAAGCCAGGAAUUCGGACACCUUACUAGUUAAUGCAAAUAAAUCUAAAUAAUAUUACGUCUCCUGAUGAGCCAUUGCAGGAAUUAAAGUACGUCUUCCAUAAUCACGUGGAUCGUAUCAGGUGAAACUUUUUUGGCAUCUUCCUUGCACAGAUUAAGUAAGCGGUUUAUUAUAUAAUGGAUUCAAUUUGUUACUUGUUUUUGUAUUUAAUGUACUGUUUCUCCGUUGUUUCUCCUUUGCUUGUGUUCCGGCACACCCUCGCCUGAUUAGGGUAAUAAUAUAUUACGUUACACAUCAUGCGCAAAUACUUUGGGAGCUUACAACAUGAGCCUGGUAAGUCAAGUUAAUUAAUACCACUUUGCAUAGAGGUUUCAAGAGGGCGGGCGCCACUUCUGACCAUGUUCCUGAAGGCGUGCCGAACUGGCUUUCCGUGAUGGAAAGCCUCGUUUGCGGUUUGGAAAACCAAUCUUCUGGCAUAUUUUUGGUGGAUGGACCUUUUUACAGUACGAGAGCUCCGAUUGAUUUACUGCCAUCCUUUUAGCCUACCUGGCAGUUUUGAUGCUAGAAGCCGCAUACCUUUUGCGGUCGAAUACCAAAGCCACUCAUACAAAUGGAAACAUAGUUUUAUAGAAGAUGCGUAGAUUGCCGUUGCAAUCACCCACCUAGGCCUAGGCAGAAGCUAGCUUGGAACAGUCGAAUGCUUUAGAGUCUUAGACAGGCUAACGCAACAGAGCUUCGUACUAGUAGUCAUCUCGCCUGAAAAUCUCAGCGCCUGGCCCCGUUUCAGCCCUCAAGCUUCGGAAAGUCAACACUUUUGUAAUCGUAAGUGCGCGGUACCACGGUUACUGGUAGUCGUCCGGUACGGGCGAAACAAAGGGCUCCUGGCCUGCGUCUUUUCGAGGCCCAGCUUUCCUUGGCACCUCAUCAACAGUCAGCGCAAAAUACUUUCAUCCGUUCCAUAACGAUAUAAUCUCCCAAACAUGCAAUCUGGCUAGCGACACGUCAUAUGCAUCCCGCAUAUCUCGCCACGCUAAGAUUAAGGCGGGGUUUGAUGUAAGCUUAGGGUUGCUUAUCCCCAUUAUACCUCAUGACGCUAUCUCACCUCAGAGGCUGCGCAAACCUUUAGCAGUGUAAACCUCGUUACCACGCACGGGCACUACGCCGAAGCGGUUAUCAUCUUCAGCGAGGAUCUGCUCUUAGGUUGGAAGCCGAGACGCAGGCUGGAAGCCGAGACGUACACAUGCGCAGCAUCUAGCGUGUGCAGCAUCAGGUGGAUUGGAUCUAUGCGAACAACAAUCGACAACGAAGCCAAGUAACACAUCUACGGACGCCUCGCCUGUUCGCCUGUCCAUGGACCCCUGAAUUUUCUUCAGUUAGACGUCUACCUCGCUUGUUUUUCGCUGUCCUCGUCGUUUUAAGCUGUGUGUGCCUGCCGUAGUGCUUUGGCUUGCCUUGCCUCGCUCAUAAGGGCGAACUGGGCGAGUACUUCCGGAACGUGCCAUCAUGUCGCGUCAUCUCUUCUGUUGAGUGGAUACCCUGCCGGGUGGGCGGGCUUGCGACUGCGGAUUGUUUUUAGUUGCAUAACCUGCCUUCCAAGAAAACCCACAUCCGCAUAUGCGGUCCGACGCAAACGGUAUUCCCGCCCGUGCAACCGAUGGAUGAUGUCCUAAGACGCUUCGGGUUCAGUUUUGACCACACCGCCACCAGGAGACGUCCAAGUCCUGAAUGUCGUACAUACAGACCAUCACCAGCCCUGGUACGCAGCAGCUACUCCCACUGAUGUCACGUCCGAUCCAUCUUACGCCACAAACAAAUGUGGUGCUCUACAGACACAGCAGCAAAUAGUCAAUAGAAGCAUGUCAAGCCCUAAACCCCACCUAUGCAGCUACGUGCACUCUUCAUCCAGCCCCGGUUAAAGUACUGACUGGUUGACGUUACUGUCUUAUACCGUUUAAGGGCUUUGGUCCGAUUCCUGGGGGGAACCCCGACAUUGUCGGGAGCGUAAGAUUUUGGCUAGCUGCUGAGAUGUGGAGUUGAGAUCACAGUUGAUGGAUCGAGAGUCGCACGCUGGAUUGGUGGCGAUUGAUAAACUGUCUCUACGGAUGUUCGGGUGAAUGGAUGAGGAGGGAUCUUAGAAGGCAGGAUCAACCGCCUUGGACUUCCAGUUCUUAUGGCGUAGUACAGUGUGGUAAUGGUGGAUGGUGCUGUAUGGUCUGACAAAUCGUAGAAUUUACAAUAUGCUCAAGUGGCCCAGAAGCCUCCCACUCUGUGGCAACUCAAAUUCAGAUUCAAAUUCAAAUUCAAAUUCAGAUUACUGACAAAAUUGACUGUCCUCUUUUAUGCAGGGCGGGCCAAUACUUCGUCUCUCGAUGUGGGUGCAUUGAAGAAUAGCAGCAAUGUACCCGUCAAAACUUUCGCGACAAAAAUAUUAAGCGCCUGUCAAAGCAGCCCGAAUACACGUACAGACAGUUAUUGAGGGUGCUGUGUGAAACAAAUACCUCAGCCGCGCAGCCAUGCGCCCUCGCCAGCCGUACUUUCCAUUGCUGUCCUUUGCCUUCUCUCUCUCCCUUUCUUCCUAAGUCCCCCUACUUCUUCCUCUGGCUCCAUCUCUCCUUCCAUCUCCCUCUUUUUCAUUCUACCUACUGUCUGUUUGCAUGCUCACCUACCUGUACCUCUACCUGCUUACCUGCCACGCCGAUCUGCAAGCCAAAGCUCAAUCCAAACCGCCUGCCUGUCCUCUCUUUUACCUACUCCCAUAAAAAAACGCAGUAUGUCGGUGAAUAUGCGAAUGGAAGACCAUACGCGUGAAAUAAACAAAGAUGUGAACGGCAAAUCGAAUAUAUUCCCGACCGGGCCCGACCAGCUUUCCUGAUGCAGCAAACGCCCUUUUACAGCGUACAGGGAACACAACAUACAUUUUAUGUGCUUUGCAUGACGGUGGAAGCCUUCCCUAGUCUGCCUCCACAUCAUCCGCCUUGGGCUGCAGCCAUGGGUGUCUCAGGAGCUGCGCCGCGGUGGGUCGCUCCAGGGGAUCUGGCGCCAGCGCCGCAAUCACGAAGUCACGUGCGGCGGGCGGCACUGAGGCGGGGAAGUGCAGCGAGGCAGGGGUCAUCUGGCUGCGGACGAAGCCACUGACGGAAUCGCCGUCCGGAACGCUGCGUUUGUCAGCUGAGGAAGCGGCCGCGGUGCUUGGGGAGGACUUCACUACCGGCGGAAAGCCCACCAUAAGCUCGUACGCCAGAACGCCGCCGGCCCAAAUAUCCUGUGCGGGGCGGGGGCAGUGUGGUGGUGUGUGCAUCAUCAGCUACUAAGAACUGAAGUCACAAAGAGACAGACAUGCUUGCCAGGAUUCAGCCUUGUCCUCAGACAUCAGCAUUGCACUGUGCUAGCCCGGACAGGAUGCGCCGUGUGGGUUUCCAGAGUUCCUUCGUCGAAUCUUCGGAGUCCGGGCGCCGCGCUGUGAUGCUGCAAGGGACACAGCUGCGACAUCUCCAGCACCCAGCCUAGCUAAGAGGGUUAUUUGAGCUGUCAACUACGACUUUGAUGGCUGGGUUGCCCCUCGACCGACGGAAUCGCACCAUCCUAGCCGUUUCCAGCAACCCUUCCUUUUGCCACACUGCGAACUUUCCUCACUUCCCCCUCCCCAUCACACGCACCACUGCUGUUGAGUAGGCGUAUCUGGGGUCGUCCUUGUUCUCAUGCGGCGCAUGCUUGAGGGGGCAUCGCUCCACCUCGGGCGCCAUGUAGCCCUCAGUGCCGGCACGGGUGACGGCUCGCUCCUGGUUCAGGUCGAUGCUGACGCCGAAAUCCGCCAACAGCAGCCGCCAGUUCUGA